GAACGUGCGAAACGUAAUGUGAAUUGCAGAAUUCAGUGAAUCAUCGAAUCUUUGAACGCAUCUUGCGCUCCUUGGUAUUCCGAGGAGCAUGCCUGUUUGAGUGUCGUGAAUACUCUCAACCUCCACCCUUUUUGGGGGGGAAGGUUGGACUUGGGUGUUUGUCGAAGGCCUUUCUUCGACUCGCCCUAAAUGCAUUAGCGAUCUGCCUCGAUCACACGCACAAUGUGAUAAUUAAAAAGCAUUGUUUCAUGAUCAAGUCAAGACUGCUUCUAACCGUCGCAAAGACAAUAAACGUGCCUAUAUGCAUGUCAUUUGACCUCAAAUCAGGUAGGACUACCCGCUGAACUUAA
rnacentral:misc_RNA from 1 species